UACGGAAGGCAGCAGUGGGGAAUAUUGCACAAUGGGCGCAAGCCUGAUGCAGCCAUGCCGCGUGUAUGAAGAAGGCCUUCGGGUUGUAAAGUACUUUCAUCGGGGAGGAAAAAACAAAACUAAUAAUUUUAUUUCUUGACGUUACCCGAAAAAGAAGCACCGGCUAACUCCGUGCCAGCAGCCGCGGUAAUACGGAGGGUGCUAGCGUUAAUCAGAAUUACUGGGCGUAAAGAGCACGUAGGUGGUUUUUUAAGUUCAGAUGUGAAAUCCCUGGGCUUAACCUAGGAACUGCAUUUUGAAACUGAAAUACUAGAGUAUCGUAGAGGGAGGUAGAAUUCUAGGUGUAGCGGUGAAAUGCGUAGAUAUCUGGAGGAAUACCUGUGGCGAAAGCGGCCUCCUAAACCGAAUACUGACACUGAGGUGCGAAAGCGUGGGGAGCAAACAGGGAUUAGAUACC
rnacentral:rRNA from 1 species